rnacentral:rRNA from 1 species
GAUGAACGCUGGCGGCGUGCCUAAUACAUGCAAGUCGAGCGAACGGACGAGAAGCUUGCUUCUCUGAUGUUAGCGGCUGACGGGUGGGUAACACGUGGAUAACCUACCUAUAAUACUGGGAUAACUUCGGGAAACCGGUGCUAAUACCGCAUAAUAUUUUCAACCGCAUGGUUCAAAAGUGAAAGACGGUCUUGCUGUCUCUUAUAGAUGGAUCCGCGCUGCAUUAGCUAGUUGGUAAGGUAACGGCUUACCAAGGCAACGAUGCAUAGCCGACCUGAGAGGGGGAUCGGCCAACCUGGACCUGAGACACGGUCCAGACUCCUAGGGGAGGCAGAAGGAGGGAAUCUUCAGAAAUGGGCGAAAGCUUGACGGGGCAACGCGGCGUGAGUGAUGAAGGUCUGCGGAUCGUAAAACUCUGUUAUGAGGGAAGAACAUAUGUGUAAGUAACUGUGCACAUCUUGAGGGUACCUAAGCAGAAGGCCAGGGCAAACUACGU